rnacentral:rRNA from 1 species
CACCCGCCCCGUCACAUCAUGAAAGCCGUUUGUACCCCGAAGUCGUCGUGUUAACCGCAAGGAGACAGAUGCCGAAGGUAUGGAUGGUGAUUGGGAUG